UCCUCCCCCACAACCUACAGCACCACCGUCUCCCUCCACAAGCAACAACCAGCCUUCCCCUCCUACCUAGCAGCAGCAGUUACUGCGUUUUGCCCCAUCAACAGCAGCAAGCUGCUGUGAUGCCAACUGCAGCAACCCACGCAGCCUUACUCCACCAUUUUUCGUGCUCCACACCAUCACAACCACCACCUGUACCCUCACCCUUUACUAGUCCCCCAUUGUUUCCAGUUCAUAAGAGGAAAGUAGAACCUUAGUUGGGUGAAUUUUGUAACUUUUGGUCAUGCAGUGACGCUUACAGGUCUAAUGUCGAGCAGCAAGAGGAUCAUAGACAGGCGUGGCAGGUAUUGGAGCUUCUUUUGCAUUGCAUUGCAUUGGAGGAGAAUGAUGAGGGCGAAGCAUAACCCGUGUCAUACUGUUAUCUUUCGAUUUUGUAGCUCUUGUUUAUCUUUUGUAAACUUUAGUUGUAUACGUUUUGUUA